rnacentral:lncRNA from 1 species
UUUUUUGAUAAGAUAAGUGGUAUUAAUAACAGCAUCAAGAAGAUGCAAGAUUUACAAGAUAUGGCAUUUGAGCUUACAAAAAAAAUCUCUGGCUAACUAUACAAACUAUCUAAGCCAGAACUAAUGAGUUAGUAAAAUCCUGAAGUUGUUCUGCAUUAACAGCAAGAUACAAGUUGGACCAACUAAACAAAUUUACAAUGCACCUACUCUUCAAAAUGCCUAAAGCAGUUGACUCUCCAUCAAAACAUCUCUUGUUCCUCUCUAACCAAAUACACCAAAAAAUACAAGCAGGUAUCAUAAUCCAGAUCUUCUUGAUGGCUUUGCCAACUUUCCAUAGACUCCAACUCUCAUAUGCAUCCUUAACAGUGAGGGGUGUGGUCCAAUUGAUGCCAGAGAGACAAAAAAACAUGCUCCAUAAUUCUGAGGCCACCUCACAAUGAAGAAGAAGGUGUCUGGGGAUGAUACAAGUUGGUCCAACUAAACAAAUUUUCAGUGCACCUAGUCUUCAAAAUGCCUAAAGCAGUUGACUCUCCAUCAAAACAUCUCUUGUUCCUCUCUAACCAAAUACACCAAAAAAUACAAGCAGGUAUCAUAAUCCAGAUCUUCUUGAUGACUUUGUCAACUUUCCAUAGACUCCAAUUCUCAUAUGCAUCCUUAACAGCACAAUAUAAGCUGAGCUAAUGAGUUAGUAAAAUCCUGAAGUUGUUCUGCAUUAACAGCAUGAUACAAGUUGGUCCAACUAAACAAAUUUUCAGUGCACCUAGUCUUCAAAAUGCCUAAAGCAGUUGACUCUCCAUCAAAACAUCUCUUGUUCCUCUCUAACCAAAUACACCAAAAAAUACAAGCAGGUAUCAUAAUCCAGAUCUUCUUGAUGGCUUUGUCAACUUUCCAUAGACUCCAAUUCUCAUAUGCAUCCUUAACAGCACAAUAUAAGCUGAGCUAAUGAGUUAGUAAAAUCCUGAAGUUGUUCUGCAUUAACAGCAUGAUACAAGUUGGUCCAACUAAACAAAUUUUCAGUGCACCUAGUCUUCAAAAUGCCUAAAGCAGUUGACUCUCCAUCAAAACAUCUCUUGUUCCUCUCUAACCAAAUACACCAAAAAAUACAAGCAGGUAUCAUAAUCCAGAUCUUCUUGAUGGUUUUGUCAACUUUCCAUAGACUCCAAUUCUCAUAUGCAUCCUUAACAGCACAAUAUAAGCUGAGCUAAUGAGUUAGUAAAAUCCUGAAGUUGUUCUGCAUUAACAGCAUGAUACAAGUUGGUCCAACUAAACAAAUUUUCAGUGCACCUAGUCUUCAAAAUGCCUAAAGCAGUUGACUCUCCAUCAAAACAUCUCUUGUUCCUCUCUAACCAAAUACACCAAAAAAUACAAGCAGGUAUCAUAAUCCAGAUCUUCUUGAUGGUUUUGUCAACUUUCCAUAGACUCCAAUUCUCAUAUGCAUCCUUAACAGCACAAUAUAAGCUGAGCUAAUGAGUUAGUAAAAUCCUGAAGUUGUUCUGCAUUAACAGCAGGAUACAAGUUGGUCCAACUAAACAAAUUUUCAGUGCACCUAGUCUUCAAAAUGCCUAAAGCAGUUGACUCUCCAUCAAAACAUCUCUUGUUCCUCUCUAACCAAAUACACCAAAAAAUACAAGCAGGUAUCAUAAUCCAGAUCUUCUUGAUGGCUUUGUCAACUUUCCAUAGACUCCAACUCUCAUAUGCAUCCUUAACAGUGAGGGGUGUGGUCCAAUUGAUGCCAGAGAGACAAAAAAACAUGCUCCAUAAUUCUGAGGCCACCUCACAAUGAAGAAGGUGUCUGGGGUUUCAGCCUCUUUUUUGCACAUAUAGCAUCUGUUUGGGAAUUGGAUUUUUCUUUUCUUUAUGUUGUCUUGGGUGAGACUUGCCUCAUAUAGAGCUGUCCAGGUGGAAAAAACUACCUUAGGU